GGCUUGUUGGCUCAGUUGGUAGGGCACUGCAUUGGAAUUGCAGAGGUCAUGGGUUCGAAUCCCGUACAGGCCU